AUCCGGCCUAGAUUCAAGGAAUGGAGAAAUAAGUGCUACCUCUCAAUGAAAUAAGUGACCAAGGACUUGCAGCCAUUUUGAAUGACCACAGCAGAUUGUCACUUCCUUUAGUUCCUUUUCUUUAUUCUUCAAUAUCUAUGAACGCUGCUGUGGUUGGGGGAGAGGAGGCUGCAGAGAGACAAUACUGACAUCACAAGAGCCCUCGAAGCCUUCUUGGAAUCAUAUGGAAUUUUUAGGUGGUGAUUUGGAAAGUACUGCUAGAAGCAUCUCUCAUCACUUCUGAAAGGAGAGUGUUGAAGCCAGGAAACUGCUCCCUCAGUGAGAAUUAGAGGAAGAAACCACUUGAAUCACAUAUGAAACAUUCAGCCCAAUCAAAGCAACCUUCAAGAGCUGAAAAGUAACCACAGCUUUGAGAGUCCAUGCAAAACCCUGAUUAACUAUCCAAUUACUGCUAGUUAAAGUAAUUGAAUAUUGCUGGGGAAGAAAUUCACAACUCAG